rnacentral:tRNA from 1 species
ACUUUUUUAGUAUAUAAGUACAUUUGACUUCCAAUCAAAAAGUUUGAUCAUCAAAAAAAGUA